UGACGGUCAUAGCGGGAGAGAAACACCUGCUCUCAUUCCGAACGCAGAAGUUAAGCCUCCUUGCGAAUCGAGUUGUACUGCUCAACGAGUGGGAAGCUCAGAGCGCUGUC
rnacentral:rRNA from 1 species